rnacentral:sRNA from 1 species
CUCUCUCCCUCCUGUCUUUGCAGGCUAAUAAUAAGCCAGAGAUCGAAGCGGCCCUCUUCCUAGACUGGAUGAGACUGGAACCCCAGUCCAUGGUGUGGCUGCCCGUCCUGCACAGAGUGGCUGCUGCAGAAACUGCCAAGCAUCAGGCCAAAUGUAACAUCUGCAAGGAGUGUCCAAUCAUUGGAUUCAGGUACAGGAGUCUAAAGCACUUUAAUUAUGACAUCUGCCAAAGCUGCUUUUUUUCUGGUCGAGUUGCAAAAGGCCAUAAAAUGCACUAUCCCAUGGUGGAAUAUUGCACUCCGACUACAUCAGGAGAAGAUGUUCGAGACUUUGCCAAGGUACUAAAAAACAAAUUUCGAACCAAAAGGUAUUUUGCGAAGCAUCCCCGAAUGGGCUACCUGCCAGUGCAGACUGUCUUAGAGGGGGACAACAUGGAAACGUGAGUAGUGGCAAAAGCAGAACAAACUCUUGUUUGAUGUAUAUUUGAACUCCUCUCAGCUGAACACCCUCCUUCACUCCCAAAUGCAAACAGUCUCUUCUAUUUCUUUCUUUUUAUUUACAUUAGCUGAAAAGAGAAAAAUAAGCUGAUGUCCACUUGCCACUUUCCCACGUCACUUGACAAUUUCUUUUUCCAAAAGUUAAACUUUAUCUCACAGGGGAAAAAAAAAA